CUGGAUUCAAUCCCUAGUACCAGAAAGAGAGAAUGAGGCUGAGGAUGUAGCUCAGGGAUAGAGUGCUUUCCUAGCAUGUCUGAGGCCCUGAGUUCCAUCCCCAAUACUGAAAAAGGAGGGGAGGGAGAGGGGAAGGAAAGAACUGCAUCCACUGCUUACCAAACCGUGCUUAAAACACUGACCCACAGGAGUUUUAGAGGCUUAAAAGCCCACCCCAGGGCUACCCAGGAACUGGCUCCUCCAUCUUCCUCUUCACUCGACCAAAACCUGAAACCAUCAUUCCAGCCUCCUUUGAUGCUCCCCACGUUUAGCCCAUGAAGGAAGCAGGUGCUUCUUGUUAACCUCUAGCCUCAUCUGCAACUCUCCAUCUCCACCCUUCCUCUAUCCUCCUCUGUAGUUCAUUCUCAGAGCAGCCAAAGUGUGUUUGUUUGUUUAAUGCAAAUCAGAUCUAAUUAACAUGCUGCCUAAACCCCCAGUGGUUUACAGGAAGCACAUACAGGAGUCAACUUCACACACAAAAAGGGACAGUGGUUGCCAGUAGUUGCGGAGAGGGAGGAAUAUGGAGUCAGUGUUUCAUGGGUGCAGAAUUUUAAUUGGGG
rnacentral:lncRNA from 1 species